rnacentral:misc_RNA from 1 species
CAACCCUCAAGCUCUGCUUGGUAUUGGGCCUGCGCCGGUGAGCCGGCGGGCCUCAAAAUCAGUGGCGGUGCCAUCUGGCUUCAAGCGUAGUAACACAUCUCGCUUCUGGAGACCCAGGUGGUUGCCUGCCAGCAAACCCCAUCUUCUCA